GGAGUUAGCCGGUGCUUCUUCUGUGAGUGAUGUCCUUCCUGCCGGUUAUUGACCCGCAGGCCUUCUUCCUCACUGAAAGUGCUUUACAACCCGAAGGCCUUCUUCACACACGCGGCAUGGCUGGAUCAGGGUUGCCCCCAUUGUCCAAUAUUCCCCACUGCUGCCUCCCGUAGGAGUCUGGGCCGUGUCUCAGUCCCAGUGUGGCUGAUCAUCCUCUCAGACCAGAUACGGAUCGUCGCCUUGGUGAGCCGUUACCUCACCAACCAGCUAAUCCGACAUAGGCUCAUCCGAUAGCGCGAGGCCCGAAGGUCCCCCGCUUUCCCCCGUAGGGCGUAUGCGGUAUUAGCCUGGGUUUCCCCAGGUUAUCCCCCACUACCGGGCAGAUUCCUAUGCAUUACUCACCCGUCCGCCGCUCGCCACCAGGGAGCAAGCUCCCCGUGCUGCCGCUCGACUUGCAUGUGUUAGGCCUGCCGCCAGCGUUCAAUCUGAGCCAGGAUCAAACUCUGA
rnacentral:rRNA from 1 species